rnacentral:tRNA from 1 species
GCACUGGUGGUUCAGUGGCAGAAUUCUUGCCCUCCAUACAGGAAACUCAGUUUUGAUUCCUGGCCAAUGUA